UACGGAGGAUCCAAGCGUUAUCCGGAUUUAUUGGGUUUAAAGGGUGCGCAGGCGGAAGAUUAAGUCGGCGGUGAAAUUUUGCAGCUCAACUGUAAAAGUGCCAUCGAUACUGGUUUUCUUGAGUGUGGAUGAAGUAGGCGGAAUUUGUGGUGUAGCGGUGAAAUGCAUAGAUAUCACGAGGAACUCCGAUUGCGCAGGCAGCUUACUAAACUACUACUGACGCUCAGGCACGAAGGCGUGGGGAUCAAACAGGAUUAGAUACCCCU
rnacentral:rRNA from 1 species